CCGCGGUAAGACGAAGGGUGCAAGCGUUACUCGAAAUUAUUGGGCGUAAAGAGCUCGUAGGCGGUUUGUCGCGUCGAAUGUGAAAACCCGGGACUCAACUCCGGGCCUGCAUUCGAUACGGGCAGACUAGAGUUCGGUAGGGGAGACUGGAAUUCCUGGUGUAGCGGUGAAAUGCGCAGAUAUCAGGAGGAACACCGGUGGCGAAGGCGGGUCUCUGGGCCGAUACUGACGCUGAGGAGCGAAAGCGUGGGGAGCAAACAGG
rnacentral:rRNA from 1 species